AUGGUGUCUGUAGUGGUAACUUGCCACAUUCUGUUAUCUUUGUCUCUUACAUGUGUCAUGGUUCAAAACAAAGUCUUCAUCCUGACUUUCAUGGUAUGGCAGGACCCCACUAGGUGCCAGCUUCAAGGAUGGGAAGGAGGGAAGGACUGACGGAUACCACCUCAGAGUGAAACAUGCUGUAGCUGAGCAGCAAGGACAGACCUGCCGGUGACCGACAAGAACCUCCAGUCUCGUCUGAGCAGGACAGUGCCUCUGCUCUGCUCCCUUCCUGCCCUCUGCUGCUG
rnacentral:lncRNA from 1 species